AACAAACUUUGGAGGAAAAGGCGUCAUGUAAAAAGUGUCAAGUGACAAUUAUAGUUCUAUCAUCGGCUUAUCAAACUCGAUAACAAAUCACAAAAUAAUUCUAUACACUCAAUAUCUUUGUAAAAUAAUUAACUUAUGGGACCCCCCCAAAUUUUCACAUAAAUUUUAUAACUUUUUUAUGGAUGGGCCACACCCUAGUCGAUAUCUUAAAAGGAAAUUAUUUUAUGGCCCCAGAAGAGUUGACUUUUCGUACUCCAUAUAAAUCCGGUGGAAGAAGACGAUUUAAAUAAGUUGAACUCGGCGGUCGAAGUUUAAAGUAGUUCUGUUCGGCUCGAAGUCUCGCUAACGUCUGACUGCUGCUCUACGGGCCCUCGAAUGUUUUGGCUGGAGUGGAAUGAGUAUUGGCAACUGUUAUCUCCAUGCCGAUAACUAGUAUUUAACGCUUUUCGGCAGUCCUUAUCGCACCUCCAUAUGGCGGCGCUCUCAGGAGACAUUCGGCUCAAAAUGGGGAAUCUAAAACCACACACAAAUAUGAUUAAGGGCUUAUCUGGCGAUGAGCUGCAUGUUGAGUUCCUGACCCUGCCAAUGAGUCAUGUGAUUGGUCAUGGGCCCGAUGGGAUCCGAUCGGAGCAAAAUAUUGGCCAUGUAUUGAAAUCUGAAGUACCUGUCUGAAAUAGCUUGUAAAAUAGGGGGAGUACCUUUCUGUGAAGUCAAGUCAUUGAUACAUUCCACAUACUAUAUGGAAAGACA
rnacentral:sRNA from 1 species